UAGCUCAGGGCUGGUCUUCCUCAGCAAAAAGAGGAGGCUUGGCAGCAGAUGUUAGUUCAGGGCUAACUUUCCUCAAAAAAAAAAAAAAUAGGAAUUCAGAAAACCUUUGAAAACCAUAAUCAUUCUUGUAUUAAUUCAGCAAAUAUUUAUUGAAUGUCUACUACUUAUCAGAGAUUGCUCUUGGUGUUAGGCUAUUGCAGAGACUAAAACAGACAUUCCUCAUGGAGGUUAUGUACUAUUGGAAGAAGAAAUGAUAUCAGACCCAAAGUGAGUUCGCUCACCUGUCACGCAGCAAGCCAAUCUCUGACACCAGGUGUAGUCGAAAAAAGUAGGAAUUUUAUUGCAAAGCACUGAGCAAGGGGAAUGGGCAGCUCGAGCUGCAAUCCCAAACUCCCUGAAAAGCUACAAGCAAGAGUUUUUAUUCAGGGUUUUAGGUAGGGGAGGGGGAGCACGUGGCCUCGGGGGCUGAAGUUCUAAGAGUCCUCUGCGCAAGCGUGACCAUCUGUUCUAUGUGUUGCCCGCAGUGGAGUUUUUAGUCUUCGACGUCUGAAGUUUACAAUCAUUCUUGCUUCUCAGUGUUCCUGUAAGAUGCUCAGUCAGGCAGAGGGCUGUCAACAAGUUCCUCUCUUAUCAGGGAUCCUCCUGCUGUUCUGUAAGGCAAACUCAGAAACUUUGGUUAUUUUGUUUCCUAUGUUAACCUUGUGGGUACAAGGCACAGUUUCACCCUAAUCCAGGGAAAUUUUAACUCCUUCAUCCUCAGUUUCAGAAAGACAAACCAACAAUAAUAAUAAUAAUAAUAAUAAUAAUAAUAAACACUCAGGUGAUGAUACCUGCUAUGGAGCGAGUUAAAGCAGGGAGAAAGAGAGAGCAUAGGGGGUGCUCUGGGUGGUGGGCCUUGGAAGGGGCGGCUCUUUCGAUGGGGUGUCCAGGGAAGCAUCUCUGACCAGGAGGCGUUUGAGCAGAGACCUGAAGCAAGAAGGGGAUGAGCCAUGUGGAUGUCUAGGGGAGGACCUUGCCAGGCAGGGGAAGCAGCAAGCACAAAGCUUCCAAGAGAAGCCCUGUUAUGAAUGUUAGUAGGUGGUACUGUUCAGCCAAAGCUUCGCUGGAGUCAGUAUCGUUUGUAAGCAAAGAGAUUUCAUUAGGACUUGUUUCUUCCCCAAAUAAAUUUAAAAUCGUUUUCUUAAGCACCUGCUUCUUUUUGACUAUCUAUCUAUCUAUCUACCUAUUUUUACUCCCCUAUGCCAGAUAGUAGUAUGUAGUGAAAAUGAAAUUCUUUGCAUUUAAGUUAAAGUGGAAGUAAGGCCUGGAGUAAACUUCUACCAAGGCCUUUCUGUCAGUCUGAAUUUUUGUUCCCCUUCCCUGUGAUCCUAUCAGAGAAGGUUACUGGACAGACUUCUUGUAUCGCCAGCUUCUGCCUUUUGGGAAGGCAGCUUUAUCUCUGCAGCAACUUGUCCUGCUCCAACUUUUUGGUGAAUUUAUUUGCUCCAAGUCUGCAGUAUAAAAGGCAAUGUAAUAAAAGUAGAGUAAGAAAAGAGGAAAAGAAAAACCAAAACAGUACUCCAAAAGGCACAAUUCCUAGAGCGGGAAUCAGGAGGAAAGUUCACUUUAGCAACAUGGCCAAAUGUAUGUUCUGUUAGGAAUAUAAUUCAUUUUGUGUAAUUAUAUCAUUUUGAUUCGUUGAACAGAGACUUAAAUGUAUGUAACAUAAAGUGAUAGGACAACGAGUUAUUUAUGACAUCACAGAAGUUAGUCUGGGGCUGUAGACGUCUUGUCACAGUUUGGCUCAGGAAGCCAGACUGGGUCCCUGGAGCCCUGGUGUCAUCUGGGACCGUCGUGGCCUUCCUCAGCCUCUCUGGGUCUACAUGUCCCAGUAGAGGCCAGGCCUCUGGAACUGUUUCCAAGCUCCAAUCUUGAGAUCUGCCCCGGCCAGUCCACUCUCCGAGACUCAGCUCAAGGGUUAUCCCCAGAGUGAAGUCUUUCCUCGGCCCUCUGUGACUGCCCCAUUAUGUGUGGAGCACUUGGUGUACUGCUGGGACACAAAGGAAUAUAAGGAUUUAGGGGACUGUUCAGGAGCUCUGGACUCACAAUUUUAAACCUUUUUGAGAAGAACCUCAGAUUUCAGACCGAAUAGUGCUACAUAAAUAUGCAAAAUUACCGCAAAAACCAUCUUUGGAUUUCAAUGUAAUUGCCAGUGCCUUGCAAAUAGUAAGUAUUCUGCAAAAUGAAUGGUGCAUAUUAAAUGGGUAUUUCUACCACAAAAAACAAUAUCUUUGGGAAAACAGUACUGCUAUCUUAGGAGCAAGAGGGGUAGUGUGUAACAACACUAGGAAUGAGAGGGAGGAUGGAGGAACACUUGAUAAUUUUUUUCUUUUGGUGAGGAAGAUUUGCUCUGAGCUAACAUCUGUGCCAACCUUCCUCUAUUUUGUAUGUGUGUCACCGCCACAGCGUAGCUUGAUGAGUGGCAUAGAUCUGUGCCCAAGAUCCAAACCCAUGGACCCAGGCCACUGAAGUGGAGCAUGCUGGACUUAUCCAUGACGCCACAAGGCCGGCCUGAUAAUUUUUUUUUUUGAAGAAUUUUUUUAAUCCCUCUUUUUAGCCUUUUCUAUACAUUUUUGGUCAGCUGUCCAUACCAGAGCAAUUUUCAAUAUUUUGUUAGAGAACUGCCUGUAAUAAGAAGUAUUUAAAAAAUAUGAAAUGGCUUUUCUUCUUUAAAGAGUGAAACCAAGACUCAAUCUGAUAUAAACAUCUUGCUAUGCCAUCAUCUUUAUUACAACAGAUAUAACUCUUGUAAUCAAUGUAGUACAAAAAAUCAGUGAGGCAAAGGCAUUUGGAGGAAUUCCAUUUAUUGUGGAUGCAUUUUCACAAUAUAUAUUUAUUGCAGCGAUCAAUUAUCAGUGAAAAAUAUCAAGUGUUUAUAAAAUUUUUAGGAAUGGCAGAUUCACAGAACAUGCUAGUCACCUUGCAGUUUUACCUCUUAAAGAUAAGAAAGAAAAUUGUAAUCAAACAAGUAAACAAGGAAUUUAUUUUUCAAAAGAUUAAAUCCAAACUGAACAAAAUUCUACCCUAAAACUUAUUCCAUCCAAAUAUUGGAAUAAAAGCCAGGAUUGAUAUAUUCUCUUAACUUUAGACUUUCUAGAAAAAAUAUAUAAUAGUGAUCAGGAGAAGCUCUUAUUCAAAAGCACAACAAAGCAAUGUUACCUCGCCAUAGGCCUUAAUUCAAACUUCGAUCCAUUUCACUUCAAUGAUGUGAGUCGAUGUGAAAUGGGGCACUGCAUAUGAAUUCUAGUUCACCUUAU